GCCCCCGUACCUCACCAGGAUAGAGGGUCCGCCUCCUAAGCGGAACGUAGUGCGUUCGAGUCGCGCCGGGGGUGCCA
rnacentral:tRNA from 1 species